CUUAACCUAGACUCAGGUUCAAGUCAGAAAGUCAAGGCAGAAUCGUCUGAGUCAGAGCCUGUUGUUAAAGCUCUAAAAAGUGCUGUUCUCUGACCUGGAGCUUGGAGGCCUGGCUAUUGUAAACCCACAGAAGAAAACUCAGAACUUACGCAGAAUUAUUGAUUGUUUUCUCCACCCAGAAGAAAUCGUUUUUCCUGGAAAGUCAGCCAUAUGGUGCCACAGAGGUGGAAGGCACCACACCCCUCUAAGGAAUGCUCCACUUCUGACCGACUCCUUUCACAUCGGCAACUGUUGCCACGGUUCUUGUCUGAGACCCCAGAGAGCUGUUCUGAAUUGUCUCUUGGAUUCAUCCGGGCACCCUUCCCUUACUGUUGGCUUCUAGUAGUCAUGGAAAUUACAAGUUGUCCUGUUUAGUGUGGCAGCUGGUAAGCAAAUAGCACCCUCCGUUUUAUGUCAUAGUUCUUGGUAUUUGGGAAUUACCAAAUUUGAAAAUUCAAUAGCAUCAUUCUCUGCAUUGUCUUCACACAAACCACUGGGGAAAGGUCCAGGAAGCCACUGACACCACAUUAGACACCUCUGAGCGAUUUGGUACAAAAGCAGCUGGAGUCUUGCUAUCUCAGCUGCUGCCUAUAGUAAAAGAGUAAUUAGAAUUUCUUCCUUAGAGAACAAAAAUUUCAGUUAAGUAUACAUUUCUUUUAAGUAUGUAUGGAAAAUAGGCUAAUAGAAAAUUAUGCCAGAGGAGUAAAACGUGUUAUGCCAAGUAUUAAUUAUAUAUGUAUUAACUAGUACAUAAGAUAAUUCUAAGUUUAGAAAGGAGAUCAAGGUUAAUUUUAUUACCAAGUGCCCUUGGCCCUACUCAUUUAAUAGUAGAAGAUACAUAAUCUAUCAAAGUAAAAAAAAAAUGGUUAAAGCACUUUAAAAUCACUUUAACAAGGUCAGAAAUGAAGUUUUCAGAUAUUCUUUCCAGGAUAAGUACAAUGUCAUGAAUUUAAUAGCAACUAAAAAUAAAUUUAGACUUUUGACACUUUUUUUUUCUGAGGGAACACAGAACCUUGAAAAUACCUUGGGGGAAAUUGCUAACCUCUCUGGAAAUUAAUGAGUUCUUACAUUAUCCCUAAAGGGUUAUGGGAUAUUUUCUAAUUCUGCAUUGCAGAUGGGAAACCAAAGAGUUUGGCCAUGGGUUCUAUUUUCAGGGGCAGACUGAAAAGGACUCUUACAAUGCUCUUCUCUUUUCAGUUUGUCCAUCAUUUGGUCUUGUCUUUUUUCUAAGACAGAGUGGGCAGAUAAUAUUUGUUCUUUGUUUAGGAGUCUUAUUUCAAAGAGAUCUCUUAUUUCACUGAAAUUCCUGGGCAUACUCUCUGGAAUAU
rnacentral:lncRNA from 1 species